rnacentral:rRNA from 1 species
GAUGAACGCUGGCGGCGUGCCUAACACAUGCAAGUCGAGCGGCAGCGCGGGGUGCUUGCACCCUGUCGGCGAGCGGCGGACGGCUGAGUAACGCGUGGGAACGUGCCCCAACGUGAGGAAUAACUGCCCGAAAUGGUAGCUAAUACCGCAUAUUAUCUUCGCAUCAUAGGAUUUAUCCGCUUUGGGAGCGGCUCGCGUCUGAUUAGGUAGUUGGUGAGGGAAUGGCUCACCAAGCCGACGAUCCGGAGCUGGUCUGAGAGGAUGACCAGCCAGACUGGAACUGAGACACGGUCCAGACUCCUACGGGAGGCAGCAGUGAGGAAUCGUACACAAGGGGCGAAAGCCUGAUGGAGCAACGCCGCGUGCAGGACGAAGGCCUUCGGGUUGUAAACUGCUUUUAUAAGUGAGGAAUAUGACGGUAACUUAUGAAUAAGGAUCGGCUAACUACGUG